rnacentral:rRNA from 1 species
AUUGAACGCUGGCGGCAUGCCUUACACAUGCAAGUCGAACGGCAGCACGGGGGCAACCCUCGGUGGCGAGUGGCGAACGGGUGAGUAACACAUCGGAACGUACCCAGUUGUGGGGGAUAACCAGUCGAAAGACUGGCUAAUACCGCAUGAUCUGGCGACAGCAAAGCGGGGGAUCGCAAGACCUCGCGCGAUUGGAGCGGCCGAUGUCCGAUUAGCUAGUUGGGGGGUAAAGGCCACCAAGGCUUUGAUCGGUAGCUGGUCUGAGAGGAUGAUCAGCCACACUGGGACUGAGACACGGCCCAGACUCCUACGGGAGGCAGCAGUGGGGAAUUUUGGACAAUGGGGGCAACCUGAUCCAGCCAUGCCGCGUGAGUGAAGAAGGCC